rnacentral:rRNA from 1 species
UACAUGCAAAGUCGAGCGGAUCUCAUUAGCUUGCUUUUGAAGAUCAGCGGCGGACGGGUGAGUAACACGUGGGCAACCUGCCUGUAAGACUGGGAUAACUUCGGGAAACCGGAGCUAAUACCGGAUAAUCCUUUCCCUCACAUGAGGGAAAGCUGAAAGACGGUUUCGGCUGUCACUUACAGAUGGGCCCGCGGCGCAUUAGCUAGUUGGUGAGGUAACGGCUCACCAAGGCMACGAUGCGUAGCCGACCUGAGAGGGUGAUCGGCCACACUGGGACUGAGACACGGCCCAGACUCCUACGGGAGGCAGCAGUAGGGAAUCUUCCGCAAUGGACGAAAGUCUGACGGAGCAACGCCGCGUGAACGAUGAAGGCUUUCGGGUCGUAAAGUUCUGUUGUCAGGGAAGAACAAGUACCGGAGUAACUGCCGGUACCUUGACGGUACCUGACCAGAAAGCCACGGCUAACUACGUGCCAGCAGCCGCGGUAAUACGUAGGUGGCAAGCGUUGUCCGGAAUUAUUGGGCGUAAAGCGCGCGCAGGCGGUUCCUUAAGUCUGAUGUGAAAGCCCCCGGCUCAACCGGGGAGGGUCAUUGGAAACUGGGGAACUUGAGUGCAGAAGAGGAGAGCGGAAUUCCACGUGUAGCGGUGAAAUGCGUAGAGAUGUGGAGGAACACCAGUGGCGAAGGCGGCUCUCUGGUCUGUAACUGACGCUGAGGCGCGAAAGCGUGGGGAGCGAACAGGAUUAGAUACCCUGGUAGUCCACGCCGUAAACGAUGAGUGCUAAGUGUUAGAGGGUUUCCGCCCUUUAGUGCUGCAGCAAACGCAUUAAGCACUCCGCCUGGGGAGUACGGCCGCAAGGCUGAAACUCAAAGGAAUUGACGGGGGCCCGCACAAGCGGUGGAGCAUGUGGUUUAAUUCGAAGCAACGCGAAGAACCUUACCAGGUCUUGACAUCCUCUGACAACCCUAGAGAUAGGGCGUUCCCCUUCGGGGGACAGAGUGACAGGUGGUGCAUGGUGU